UAGAGUUUGAUCAUGGCUCAGAAUGAACGUUGGCGGCGUGGAUUAGGCAUGCAAGUCGAGCGGAAAGGCCCGCAAGGGCACUCGAGCGGCGUAAGGGACAGUAAUGUGUAGGUAACGUACCCCUGGGUCUAGGAUAGCUGCGGGAAACUGCAAUUAAUACUAGAUAACGUCUCCGGACCAAAGGUGUGAUUCCACCUGGGGAGCGGCCUACAUCCUAUUAGCUAGUUGGCGAGGUAAUGGCUCACCAAGGCGAAGAUGGGUAGCAGGUGUGAGAGCACGACCUGCGUCACUGGGACUGAGACACUGCCCAGACACCUACGGGUGGCUGCAGUCGAGAAUCUUCGGCAAUGGGCGAAAGCCUGACCGAGCGACGCCGCGUGUGGGAUGAAGGCCUUCGGGUUGUAAACCACUGUCGGAGGGGAUGAAGUGUUAGUGGGUUCUCCCAUUAACUUGACUGAUCCUCGGAGGAAGGGUGAGCGAAGUUCGUGCCAGCAGCCGCGGUAAUA
rnacentral:rRNA from 1 species